rnacentral:SRP_RNA from 1 species
GGAUUACUUGAAGUCUGUGGCGCGUGCAUCAGGAUCACCGUUGACUAAGUGGGCUGAGGGCUAGCUGAGGCUGAGUGCC